rnacentral:rRNA from 2 species
GGGGGAUAUUGCGCAAUGGGGGCAACCCUGACGCAGCAACGCCGCGUGAAGGAUGAAGGUUUUCGGAUUGUAAACUUCUUUUAUUAAGGACGAAAAAUGACGGUACUUAAUGAAUAAGCUCCGGCUAACUACGUGCCAGCAGCCGCGGUAAUACGUAGGGAGCAAGCGUUGUCCGGAUUUACUGGGUGUAAAGGGUGCGUAGGCGGCUUUGCAAGUCAGAUGUGAAAUCUAUGGGCUCAACCCAUAAACUGCAUUUGAAACUGUAGAGCUUGAGUGAAGUAGAGGCAGGCGGAAUUCCCCGCGUAGCGGUGAAAUGCGUAGAGAUGGGGAGGAACACCAGUGGCGAAGGCGGCCUGCUGGGCUUUAACUGACGCUGAGGCACGAAAGCGUGGGUAGCAAACAGGAUUAGAUACCCUGGUAGUCCACGCUGUAAACGAUGAUUACUAGGUGUGGGGGGUCUGACCCCUUCCGUGCCGGAGUUAACACAAUAAGUAAUCCACCUGGGGAGUACGGCCGCAAGGUUGAAACUCAAAGGAAUUGACGGGGGCCCGCACAAGCAGUGGAGUAUGUGGUUUAAUUCGAAGCAACGCGAAGAACCUUACCAGGUCUUGACAUCCAACUAACGAAGUAGAGAUACAUUAGGUGCCCUUCGGGGAAAGUUGAGACAGGUGGUGCAUGGUUGUCGUCAGCUCGUGUCGUGAGAUGUUGGGUUAAGUCCCGCAACGAGCGCAACCCUUGCUAUUAGUUGCUACGCAAGAGCACUCUAAUAGGACUGCCGUUGACAAAACGGAGGAAGGUGGGGACGACGUCAAAUCAUCAUGCCCCUUAUGACCUGGGCUACACACGUACUACAAUGGAUGUUAACAGAGGGAAGCAAGACAGCGAUGUGGAGCAAACCCCUAAAAACAUUCUCAGUUCAGAUUGCAGGCUGCAACCCGCCUGCAUGAAGAUGGAAUUGCUAGUAAUCGCGGAUCAGCAUGCCGCGGUGAAUACGUUCCCG